GGUUUUCUAAUUGUUUAUGGAGAAGAUUGAUCUUCACAAGCUAGUUUUUUCAUAGGCAAAAGCAAAAGUCUCUUCCUGUGUUAUUAAGUGAAAAUGGCUGAUUAUAAAAAGGCCCUGGGUCAGGAGGUUGCCGAUUCCAGGAAGAAUCAGACCUUAUCCCUGCCCUUGAGUCUCAAGAAGAGGAAAGGAAAACAAAUAAGCAUAGUACAGUGUGAAAAGUGGGACUGUGGUCAAAUUUCAGUCUGCAAACUCAGAAUGGAUGAAAUAUGAAAGACUGACAACAUCAAGUUGUCAAGUAGGACAGGAUGUGGAACCACUGGAACUCAUACGUGACUGAUGGGAAUGCAAAAUGAUACCGAUCCCUUGGAAAACUCCUUGGCAACUUUAAUAAACAUAAAUCUACCCUAUGAUCCAGAAAUUCCACUCUGAGUCACGUCUCCAAGAGCAAUGAAAAUAUAUACCCACAAAAGACUGCACAUAAAUCAGAACAGCAUUGUUGAUAAUAGCCCAAACUGGAAACAACCUAAAUAUUCACCAAUAGAAGCCUGAAUAAAUUCAUACUGUGGGAUACUCUACAGCAAUGA
rnacentral:lncRNA from 10 species